AAAUCCCACCCCUCCUGGCUGAACCUUUGUUCGCCCACCUGUCCUAGUGAAACUGGAAAGGCCUCCGGGCCACCGGUAAUCUUUCAAUCAUAAAAAGAACCACAUUCAAAUAGAUGAAUCUUUAUUGUCAUGAUAUUUGUUUCCAAAUGUUUAAACUUUAAAUGGCUCACCUGUAUAGUUUUG